CAAUAGCGUAUAUUAAAGUUGUUGCGGUUAAAAGCUCGUAGUUGGAUUUCUGCCUGAGGCAGCCGGUCCGCACUUAGUGCGUGUAUCUGGUUUGGUUUGGGCAUCCUCUUGGGGAUCGUUGCUGUGCUUAGUUGCAUGGUGCGGAAUUCAAGACGUUUACUUUGAGGAAAUUAGAGUGGUUACGGCAAGCUAUCGCUUUGAAUACAUUAGCAUGGAAUAAUAGAAUAUGACCUCUGUAUCAUUUAUUGGUCCAAUGUUUAGAGGUAAUGAUUAACAGGGACAGUUGGGGGCAUUAGUACUGCUUUGUCAGAGGUGAAAUUCAUUGAUUAUCGCAAGACUAACUUAUGCGAAAGCAUUUGCCAAGGAUGUUUUCAUUAAUCAAGAACGAAAGUUAGGGGAUCAAAGAUGAUUAGAUAC
rnacentral:rRNA from 1 species